UAGGGAAUCUUCCACAAUGGACGCAAGUCUGAUGGAGCAACGCCGCGUGAGUGAAGAAGGUUUUCGGAUCGUAAAGCUCUGUUGUUGGUGAAGAAGGAUAGAGGCAGUAACUGGUCUUUAUUUGACGGUAAUCAACCAGAAAGUCACGGCUAACUACGUGCCAGCAGCCGCGGUAAUACGUAGGUGGCAAGCGUUGUCCGGAUUUAUUGGGCGUAAAGCGAGCGCAGGCGGAAUGAUAAGUCUGAUGUGAAAGCCCACGGCUCAACCGUGGAACUGCAUCGGAAACUGUCAUUCUUGAGUGCAGAAGAGGAGAGUGGAAUUCCAUGUGUAGCGGUGGAAUGCGUAGAUAUAUGGAAGAACACCAGUGGCGAAGGCAGCUCUCUGGUCUGCAACUGACGCUGAGGCUCGAAAGCAUGGGUAGCGAACAGG
rnacentral:rRNA from 1 species